AUGUGGGAGACACACCGCCGCACGCAGACACGCACACAAACCGCACACACAUACACAAUCACAAACCGUACACACAUACACAAUCACAAACCUCACACACAUACACAAUCACAAACCGCACACACAUACACAAUCACAAACCGCACACACAUACACAAUCAAACCGCACACACAUACACAAUCACAAACCGCACACACAUACACAAUCAAACCGCACACACAUACACAAUCACAAACCGCACACACAUACACAAUCACAAACCGCACACACAUACACAAUCAAACCGCACACACAUACACAAUCACAAACCGUACACACAUACACAAUCACAAACCUCACACACAUACACAAUCACAAACCGCACACACAUACACAAUCACAAACCGCACACACAUACACAAUCACAAACCGCACACACAUACACAAUCAAACCACACACACAUACACAAUCACAAACCGCACACACAUACACAAUCACAAACCGCACACACAUACACAAUCACAAACCGCACACACAUACACAAUCACAAACCGCACACACAUACACAAUCACAAACCACACACAUACACAAUCACAAACCGCACACACAUACACAAUCACAAACCGCACACACAUACACAAUCACAAACCUCACACACAUACACAAUCACAAACCGCACACACAUACACAAUCAAACCGCACACACAUACACAAUCACAAACCGCACACACAUACACAAUCACAAACCGCACACACAUACACAAUCACAAACCUCACACACAUACACAAUCACAAACCGCACACACAUACACAAUCACAAACCGCACACACAUACACAAUCACAAACCGCACACACAUACACAAUCACAAACCACACACACAUACACAAUCACAAACCUCACACACAUACACGCACACAAACACGCACACAAACCGCACACACAUACACAAUCACAAACCGCACACACACACAAUCACAAACCGCACACACAUACACAAUCACAAACCACACACACAAUCACAAACCGCACACACAUACACAAUCACAAACCGCACACACAUACACGCACACACAAUCACAAACCGCACACACAUACACAAUCACAAACCGCACACACAUACACAAUCACAAACCGCACACACACUGAUCGAAAGGACCCAGUGGGAGGCAGACAUAGUGUGGAAUUUCACAUUGACAGAAGACACACACACACACCAGACCAUACACACACUGUGAACUACCUCAUCUCAUUUCUCCAGUCCUCACUUUAA
rnacentral:lncRNA from 1 species